GAUGAACGCUGGCGGCGUGCUUAACACAUGCAAGUCGAACGGAAAGGCCUAGCUUUUUGGGCACUCGUGUUACGAACGGGGGAGUAACACGCGGGUGAUCUGCCCCCCUCUUUGGGAUAAGCCUCGGCGAGAGGGCGUAACUCAGGCCAUUUAAUUUUCUGAGCCUGGGGGUUCGUGGGAAACUUUCGCGGUUGCGGCUAGGUCCUGGGGCUUUCAGCUUGCUGGUGGGGGUAUGGACUACCAAGGCUUCGACGGGUAGCCGACCUGAGAGGGGGAUCGGCCACACUGGGACUGCGACACGGCCCAGAAUCCUACGGGAGGCAGCAGUGGGGAAUAUUGCACAAUGGGCGCAAGCCUGAUGCAGCGACGCCGCGUGCGGAAUGACGGCCUUCGGGUUGUAAACCUCUUUCAGCUCAGACGAAGCGAAAGUGACGGUAGGGGCAGAAGAAGCACCGGCUAACUACGUG
rnacentral:rRNA from 1 species